UAUGGUCUGGAAUAUUUGUAGAGCUCUUAUUUUGAACCUACAUUAUUUAUACGGGAGUUCAAUACUUAAAUGUGGAUUAGAUUAGUCUUAUAAGACCAACUAUUGAGUGGCAAAGACAGCAAAGCAUUUGUGAGAACACCCACCUAUCGAGAGAUAGGUGUCAAAAUUGGAGCAGCGGUAUUUUGGAUGCAUA
rnacentral:other from 1 species